GAUGAACGCUGGCGGCGUGCCUAACACAUGCAAGUCGAACGAGUAAGACGGCUCCGGCCGUGAAUAGAGUGGCGAACGGGUGAGUAACACAUGACCAACCUGCCUUCCGCUCCGGGACAACCUUGGGAAACCGAGGCUAAUACCGGACGACGCGGGGCCCCCGCAUGGGGGCCCCGCCAAAGCCCUGGCGGCGGAAGAUCGGCCCGCGUUGGAUUAGGUAGUUGGUGUGGUAAAGGCGCACCAAGCCUACGAUCCAUAGCUGGUCUGAGAGGAUGAUCAGCCACACUGGGACUGAGACACGGCCCAGACUCCUACGGGAGGCAGCAGUGGGGAAUCUUGCGCAAUGGGCGAAAGCCUGACGCAGCCAUGCCGCGUGAAUGAUGAAGGUCUUAGGAUUGUAAAAUUCUUUUACCAGGGACGAUAAUGACGGUACCUGGAGAAAAAGCCCCGGCUAACUCCGUGCCAGCAGCCGCAGUAA
rnacentral:rRNA from 1 species